UACGGAGGGUGCAAGCGUUGUUCGGAAUCACUGGGCGUAAAGCGCGUGUAGGCGGCCUUUUAAGUCUGAUGUGAAAGCCCGGGGCUUACCCCCGGAAGUGCAUUGGAAACUGGAAGGCUAGAGUACCGGAGAGGAAGGUGGAAUUCCUGGUGUAGCGGUGAAAUGCGUAGAUAUCAGGAGGAACACCGGUGGCGAAGGCGGCCUUCUGGACGGAUACUGACGCUGAGACGCGAAAGCGUGGGGAGCAAACAGG
rnacentral:rRNA from 1 species